rnacentral:misc_RNA from 1 species
GAUGAAGAACGUAGCGAAAUGCGAUAAGUAAUGUGAAUUGCAGAAUUCAGUGAAUCAUCGAAUCUUUGAACGCACAUUGCGCCCGCCAGUAUUCUGGCGGGCAUGCCUGUUCGAGCGUCAUUUCAACCAUCAAGCCCCCGGGCUUGUGUUGGGGACCUGCGGCCGCCGCAGGCCCUGAAAAGCAGUGGCGGGCUCGCUGUCACACCGAGCGUAGUAGAUUUUAUCUCGCUCAGGGCGUGCUGCGGGUUCCGGCCGUUAAACCACCUUCAUAACCCAAGGUUGACCUCGGAUCAGGUAGGAAGACCCGCUGAACUUAAGCAUAUCAAUAAGCGGAGGA